CACAAGCUCAGGCUUCUGACUUCAUUGCAUAAUGCAGUAGCAACUGGAUUUGCAGCAGAAACACCCUGCUAAAGAACAAGUGUCUUGGUUCACAGCAAAGAGGACAAAGAAAAACAGCAAGUUCUAGGGGGUUGAAUGCUGGAUUACCUUGUCUCAUUGGACCUUACUGGGAAUUUGACACUGCUACCCACUCCCUUUUCUUUUUUGUGUGGUAGCCCCCUCACCCCACCCCUAUCUGCAAUUACCUUCAGUCAACUGUGGCCCAAAAAUAUUAAAUGGAAAAUUCCAGAAAAAGACAAUUCGUAAGUUUUAAAUUGCAUGCCAUCCUGUUAGCACGAUGAAAUCUUCCUCCACCCUACUUGGGACAUGAAUCAUCCCUUUGUCCAGUGUAUCCACACUGUAUACACCACCUACUGGUUAGUCACUUAGCAGUCAUCUUGGUUAUCAGGUACCGUUGAGGUACAACAGUGCUUGUGUUUAAGCAACCCUUACUUCACUAUAUAAUGGCCCCAAAGCACUAGAGCA
rnacentral:lncRNA from 1 species